rnacentral:rRNA from 1 species
UUUAUGGAGAGUUUGAUCCUGGCUCAGGAUGAACGCUGGCGGCGUGCCUAAUACAUGCAAGUCGAGCGAACGGACGAGAAGCUUGCUUCUCUGAUGUUAGCGGCGGACGGGUGAGUAACACGUGGAUAACCUACCUAUAAGACUGGGAUAACUUCGGGAAACCGGAGCUAAUACCGGAUAAUAUUUUGAACCGCAUGGUUCAAAAGUGAAAGACGGUCUUGCUGUCACUUAUAGAUGGAUCCGCGCUGCAUUAGCUAGUUGGUAAGGUAACGGCUUACCAAGGCAACGAUGCAUAGCCGACCUGAGAGGGUGAUCGGCCACACUGGAACUGAGACACGGUCCAGACUCCUACGGGAGGCAGCAGUAGGGAAUCUUCCGCAAUGGGCGAAAGCCUGACGGAGCAACGCCGCGUGAGUGAUGAAGGUCUUCGGAUCGUAAAACUCUGUUAUUAGGGAAGAACAUAUGUGUAAGUAACUGUGCACAUCUUGACGGUACCUAAUCAGAAAGCCACGGCUAACUACGUGCCAGCAGCCGCGGUAAUACGUAGGUGGCAAGCGUUAUCCGGAAUUAUUGGGCGUAAAGCGCGCGUAGGCGGUUUUUUAAGUCUGAUGUGAAAGCCCACGGCUCAACCGUGGAGGGUCAUUGGAAACUGGAAAACUUGAGUGCAGAAGAGGAAAGUGGAAUUCCAUGUGUAGCGGUGAAAUGCGCAGAGAUAUGGAGGAACACCAGUGGCGAAGGCGACUUUCUGGUCUGUAACUGACGCUGAUGUGCGAAAGCGUGGGGAUCAAACAGGAUUAGAUACCCUGGUAGUCCACGCCGUAAACGAUGAGUGCUAAGUGUUAGGGGGUUUCCGCCCCUUAGUGCUGCAGCUAACGCAUUAAGCACUCCGCCUGGGGAGUACGACCGCAAGGUUGAAACUCAAAGGAAUUGACGGGGACCCGCACAAGCGGUGGAGCAUGUGGUUUAAUUCGAAGCAACGCGAAGAACCUUACCAAAUCUUGACAUCCUUUGACAACUCUAGAGAUAGAGCCUUCCCCUUCGGGGGACAAAGUGACAGGUGGUGCAUGGUUGUCGUCAGCUCGUGUCGUGAGAUGUUGGGUUAAGUCCCGCAACGAGCGCAACCCUUAAGCUUAGUUGC